CGGUCCAACACUGGGGUGUUCAUAAUUCUUUUGUGAAUGAUAAAUUUUUCUACUAUGUAUUUCUCAGUUUUCUCAUUCAUUUAAUGUUGAGAAAGAUUUAAAAACAAAAAAUUUAAGAUAAUUCCCAACAAAAUUGGACAGUGUUUUCAGAAAAGCCGCUCUGCUGAACAAUUACCAUCAAUCUAAAUAAUUUUAAAAUUUUUUAAAUUUUAAUUUUAUUUUUUAAAGAAGAGAACAAGUAGGUUAGCACGUUUCCUGCAAAUUUCAAUUAAUCAGGUGUGUUGCGUCAUGAAUUCUGAUAUUAUUCGUUCGAUGUUCGAAACCGAUUUUAUCAGGUUUGUUUUUAAUAUUGCGUUGUUAUUUCUGUGUGCUGUUAGACGGUUGAAAAUAUGGGAAAACAAACGAAUAAUAAACAGAAAACAAAAUACCAUGAUAAGUGAAAUUAAGAGGAAAUUGGCUCACAACCAAA